GCAAAGGCCCUUCUACAGCUCUUGGACAAAUGGCGUCUUCUUCAUCAUCAUCAUCAGCGUCGUCGUCAGCUCUGAAAAGACUAUCGAAUCUCAGCAACCAUCUUCGCCCAACGAACUCAAACGCUUUAGUCAAAGUAUCUGCAGAAGUCUCUGAGGCUUUGUCAAGUGGCCACCCUGUUGUUGCUCUUGAGUCCACCAUCAUUGCCCAUGGAAUGCCAUAUCCUCAGAAUUUUGAAACAGCCAAGGAGGUGGAGGCGAUUGUGAGGGAAAAUGGAGCUGUUCCUGCUACCAUUGCUAUUCUUGAUGGCAUACCGUGCGUAGGUUUGAAUUUGGAACAACUGGAAAGGCUUGCCCAACUGGGAAAAAGUGUUCAAAAGACAGCUCGGAGGGACAUUGCACAUGUUGUGGCCACCAAGAGGAAUGGUGCAACCACUGUUUCUUCAACCAUGUUUUUUGCUGCCAUGCACUCGCAGGUUGGUAUCCCUGUUUUUGUUACUGGGGGAAUUGGGGGAGUUCAUAGACAUGGCGAGCAUACUAUGGAUAUAUCCUCUGAUCUCACAGAGCUUGGAAGGACACCAGUAGCAGUCAUCUCUGCUGGUGUAAAAUCGAUAUUAGAUAUUCCGAGGACACUGGAAUAUUUGGAAACUCAGGGAGUUUGUGUUGGUGCUUAUAAGACCUAUGAGUUUCCAGCUUUUUUCACUGAAAGAAGUGGCUGCAAGGUACCUUGUCGUGUGGAUAGCCCAGAAGACUGUGCACGGUUAAUUGAUGCUAACCGGAAACUUCAUCUCGGAAAUGGAGUACUAAUUGCGGUUCCCAUCCCAAAAGAACACUCAGCUUCUGGAAGCUUAAUAGAGUCUGCGAUACAACGUGCCCUUACAGAAGCUAGAGAAAAGAACGUAACAGGGAAUGCUGAGACUCCUUUCUUGCUUGCAAGAGUUAGUGAAUUAACUGGAGGAGCAUCACUUGCUUCAAACAUUGCACUUGUAAAAAACAAUGCUGCUGUUGGUGCUAAGAUAUCUGUAGCCCUGGCCCAGCUCACAUAACACCAUAUACAGGGAAUAGACACUUGGGCUCCAGGACAUGAUAUAAAGAAGUUUUAUAGUGCUAACAAACUAACAGAAUCUUGGAACCAUUUCAAUUAUACCAGCUGAUAUGAAGUCCAAUGUUUUCUGAUCCUGCAACCGGUCAUCAGCUAGUUGGAUUUUGUUGCUUACAAUGUUGUGCGUUCUUUUGUUUUGGACUCAUGGUCAAUUGGAAUAGUACUGAAAACGAAUAGGAGUCUUAUGUACAUUUUUUGCUCCUCAGAUUGUGGUCAGUAGUGUAAUCACCGUUAGUUGUUUUAUUGGAAGCAUUUGUUGUAUUAGAGUUGCACUUUGAAGAGCAGAGUUUGUCAGAAGGGGCAAAUGACUUUGACUGUGGUGAUAAGCCUGUUGACCUUGUUGCAAUUUUAAUUUCAUAAAAAUCUUCUCCGGUUUUA